rnacentral:rRNA from 1 species
AGUGGCGGACGGGUGAGUAACGCGUGAGAAUCUGCCUUCAGGUCGGGGACGACAGUUGGAAACGACUGCUAAUACCCGAUGUGCAGCAAUGUGAAAGAUUUAUUGCCUGAAGAUGAGCUCGCGUCUGAUUAGCUAGUAGGUGUGGUAAUGGCGCACCUAGGCGACGAUCAGUAACUGGUCUGAGAGGAUGACCAGUCACACUGGGACUGAGACACGGCCCAGACUCCUACGGGAGGCAGCAGUGGGGAAUUUUCCGCAAUGGGCGAAAGCCUGACGGAGCAAUACCGCGUGAGGGACGACGGCUUUUGGGUUGUAAACCUCUUUUCCCUGGGAAGAAGAUCUGACGGUACCAGGGGAAUCAGCAUCGGCUAACUUCGUGCCAGCAGCCGCGGUAAUACGAGGGAUGCAAGCGUUAUCCGGAAUUAUUGGGCGUAAAGCGUCCGCAGGUGGCUCUGUAAGUCUGUCGUUAAAGAAUGGAGCUUAACUCCAUACAGGCGAUGGAAACUACAAGCCUAGAGUUUGGUAGGGGUCACGGGAAUUCUUAGUGUAGCGGUGAAAUGCGUAGAUAUUAAGAAGAACACCAGCGGCGAAAGCGCGUGACUGGGCCAGUACUGACACUCAUGGACGAAAGCUAGGGGAGCGAAAGGGAUUAGAUACCCCUGUAGUCCUAGCCGUAAACGAUGAUAACUAGGUGUUGCUC